rnacentral:lncRNA from 1 species
UCCCCUCCAAAUCAAAAAAAAAAAAAAAAAAAAAGAAAAACAACUUGAAGAAGCUUUCUGAGACACAGAAAAACCUGAGUAUUUACUACAGCAAGAAGUUGUACUGUGGAAGCAUCUGGUUUUCCAGUUCUAACACCUUCCUGGAAAUAGUGAUGGUAGCCUAUUCCAACCCAAGGAAUCCACUGCCCUCCUAUGGGAUCUUCCAUUGGAUUCACCGGUCACUGGUAGGGAACAAAAUAUCAGUUUGAUGAAUAAUACAACAGUAAUACAGACUGUUACACAAAGCACUCCAACACAGUAUCAUUAUUUCAACAUAAAUACACACUUUUUUUUUUAUAUAACAGGAAACAGAAAAGGCUGACAUCCAUUUUAGUGUAUAAAUUCACUGAAAUCGGGAUGAAUAAUAAUCCUGGUCAGUCUGUCUUUGGCUGCUCUUCAAUUCAGCAGAAAAAAUUAGUCUAUCACAAAAAUUUUUGAUUGUGUAAUACUUGACUGCUUUUAUCUGUUUAUGCCACACACAGAGCAGUAAUAAAUGCUUAAAUGGAAAAAUAUCGGUUCCAGGAAUACAGGUAUAUGAAGAAAUACCAGCUGGAUUCUCCCCCAGUUUGCUUUAGAACUGAAGGCAACAGACACUUGCACCUAAUUUUCAUGGAAAGGUUAAAUCCGUACAAAUCAGUGCAACAGACAAGUCUUUAGAAACAUAUGCAAGCACUAAGGCACCUCAGGAAUUGGUGCGUUUCAUUCAAGCUUUGUGGGGACUGAUUCCACGGUAGGAAGGAUUUUCCCAGGUAGGUGCAUAACUCAUGGGAAAAUAACUCAUGGGAAGUUAGUGGUAAUUCAUGACUUUUUUUGUAACAACAAACUAACUAACAACAGCAGUGAUAUCCAUGGGCCACUGAUGAAAGCAGCCACCAUGGUAAAUGCAGAUAUCAGGAGCUGGACUUGCAAUACAACACAGGCAGAUAGUACUCUUCACUGCACUUGUACCACAGCAGACAAGAAGAGAGAAUAGAUUCAGCUGGAAAAGAAAACUGUACUCUGUUGUCUUAGAAGAAAUAAGGUGAUGUCUGCUACUUUUGUUAAGUGAGAAAUACACCUCAUUAAAGAACAAGGAAGCAUUAGAAGUCCCAUAUAUUUACCUUUCAGGGAUAAAAGGAAUGCUAGAGGUUGCUAUAGUUAUAUCUCCAGUAGUCUCACAAGCAAGAAAGUUAACACAGAGAACAAUGUUCACGAGACAGAGGAAUCAGAGAGAGUUCCCUCCCUCCUAAAAGCAUCACUUUUGUUUCUUUCUCACCUCAUGAAAUCUAGAAAUGUUUGAGCAACAAACAUUGUCUAAACACCACCCACUGAACAGAAAUGAAUCGUUACUAAGAUGAAAUGGGGAAGAAAUUAUGGUAACUGAUGACAGAACAGUUAAAAAAGCCUUUGCCCAACCCCACCUACCCUCCCCCAAGUCUUUGGUUCAC